UACAGAGGUCUCGAGCGUUAGGCGGAAUCACUGGGCUUAAAGCGUGUGUAGGCGGGUCGGUAAGUACCUUGUGAAAUCCCACGGCUCAACCGUGGAACUGCUGGGUAUACUGCCGAUCUUGUGCAACCUAGGGGCGAGCGGAACAGAUGGUGGAGCGGUGAAAUGCGUAGAUAUCAUCUGGAACGCCAAUGGUGAAAACAGCUCGCUGGGGGUUUGCAGACGCUGAGACACGAAAGCCAGGGGAGCGAACGGG
rnacentral:rRNA from 1 species